rnacentral:rRNA from 1 species
AACGAACGCUGGCGGCAUGCCUAACACAUGCAAGUCGAACGAGAACUGCGGGCCUAGUGGCGCACGGGGGCGUAACGCGUGGUAACCUGCCCUUAGGUUCGGAAUAACUGCCCGAAAGGAGUGCUAAUACUGGCUAAUGUCUUCGGACCAAAGAUUUAUCGCGUUUGGAUGGGCCCGCGUUGGAUUAGCUAGUUGGUAGGGUAAAAGCCUACCAAGGCGACGAUCCAUAGCUGGUCUGAGAGGAUGAUCAGCCACACUGGGACUGAGACACGGCCCAGACUCCUACGGGAGGCAGGAGUGGGUAAUAUUGGACAAUGGGCGAAAGCCUGAUCCAGCAAUGCCGCGUGAGUGAUUAAGGCCUUAGGGUUGUAACGCUCUUUUACCCGGGAUGAUAAUGACGGUACCGGAAGAAUAAGCACCGGCUAACUCCGUG